AUAUUGGACAAUGGGCGAAAGCCUGAUCCAGCCAUGCCGCGUGUGUGAAGAAGGUCUUCGGAUUGUAAAGCACUUUAAGUUGGGAGGAAGGGCAGUAAGUUAAUACCUUGCUGUUUUGACGUUACCGACAGAAUAAGCACCGGCUAACUUCGUGCCAGCAGCCGCGGUAAUACGAAGGGUGCAAGCGUUAAUCGGAAUUACUGGGCGUAAAGGGGCGUAGGUGGUUUGGUUAAGUGGGAAGUGAAACCCCGGGGUUAAACUGGGGACCUGUUUCAAAAACUGCCAAGCUGGAGAAUGGCAGAGGGUGGUGGAAUUCCUGGUGUAGCGGUGAAAUGCUUAGUAAUAGGAAGGAACCCAAGUGGGGAAGGCGACCCCCUGGGUAAAAAUUGAAACUGAGGUGCAAAAGCGUGGGAGCAAACAGG
rnacentral:rRNA from 1 species